rnacentral:rRNA from 1 species
CUACGGGCCGCUCCAGUGAGGAAUCUUGGACAAUGGGCGAAAGCCUGAUCCAGCGACGCCGCGUGGGUGACGAAGGCCUUCGGGUUGUAAAGCCCUGUCAGAGGGGAAGAAGUUCUGACGGUACCCUCAGAGGAAGCACAGGCUAACUGCCGUGCCAGCAGCCGCGGUAAUACGGAGUGGGCAAGCGUUGCUCGGAAUCACUGGGCGUAAAGGGCGCGUAGGCGGCUUGGUAAGUUGGAUGUGAAAGCCCUCGGCUCAACCGAGGAACCGCAUCCAAAACUGCCUGGCUAGAGUACGGAAGAGGAAGGCGGAAUUCCCAGUGUAGGGGUGAAAUCCGUAGAUAUUGGGAAGAACACCAGUGGCGAAGGCGGCCUUCUGGGACGAUACUGACGCUGAGGCGCGAAAGCGUGGGGAGCAAACAGGAUUAGAUACCCUUGUAGUC